ensembl:lncRNA
CCUCAGACCUGCAGUCACCAGACCUCCUGCUCACCUGUAUCCACUUAUCGCCCUUUGUUCUUCUGUUGUUUUUUAUUUCCGUGCUUGCUGUUCCCAGCCUGCUCUUCAGGACUCUUCUAAGCACAACCUACAAAAGUGACCGCUGGAGGGACCUUUUGAAGGGCAACAGCACAUUGAGAGCCACUUUGAGAACCAUGACCCUGCAUGUGGAGAGUAAUUAAAACUUUGACUGACUGCAAGCGCAGCACUACGCAGAUCAGUGAGGACAGAGACCUCCCCGACACACUGAACCAAGCCCAAGGCGGAGCAGACACUCCCCUAGCACCACCAGCAAAGACUACCGCCCAGUCGCCGUGACCCAAGUGCUUCCAGAGGAUGAUGCUAUCACACGUCAAGAACAGACUCCCAGCUGACGUGGGCAGCCACCACUUUGCGUACCGAGCAAACCGAUCUGCAGAGGACGCGGCCUCCAUCACACUUCACACAGCGCUGUCUCACAUGGAGCACCCGAACACGUAUGUAAGGAUGCGCUUCAUUGAAGCUCUGCCCUCAAUACCAUCACCCCCCCCUUGAAGUGAUGCAUAAACUCAAAACACCUUGGACUAUCUACAUCGCUCUGUCCAUGGAGACUGGACAGACCACAGAAUGUGAGUAUAGGGAACCUGACAUUAACCAUCCUGAACACUGGAGCGCUGCAGACCUGUUUCUCCAACACGAUAGAAACGCACUGCAGAGAGGAGGGCCAACGUCUGGCUGAUCACAUCACACCUGGUGAAGAAAGCCCAGCAGAGGCUCUUCUUCCUGAGGAAGCUAAAACAAGCAGGCCGUCCCCCUGAAGUUCUAGUUAACUUCUACAGAAGUGUGAUAGAAAGUCCGUGAUUUACUGUGUGAAGCUGCACAGCAGAGAACAGCACACCGUGAAUGUGUGACACUGUGUGUGCCGGCCGCCUUCAGAAGAAGAUUCAGGACUAUUAAAACCCGGACUAACAGGCUGAGGAACUGCUUUUUCCCCACAGCCGCUUCCUCCAUCAUCACCACCACGAUUGAACCUUUUGAUGCUUAUGAUCAAACCAGCUUGACCUUUUUAACAGAAGGAUCUGAGCACUGUGAGGUGAUGUUCUGACAUUUUGAAAUCCGAUUAGUCUGGAAAUGUGUUCUCAAUGAUAGGACACAUUUUUCAAACGACUUUUGAAAUACAGUUUGUAUAAGGUCAUUAAAAAAAUAAAAAUAAUAAUUGCU